rnacentral:rRNA from 1 species
UACGUAGGGUGCAAGCGUUGUCUGGAAUUAUUGGGCGUAAAGAGCUCGUAGGCGGUCUGUCACGUCGGAUGUGAAACCUCGGGGCUCAACCCCGAGCCUGCAUUCGAUACGGGCAGACUAGAAUUCGGUAGGGGAGACUGGAAUUCCUGGUGUAGCGGUGAAAUGCGCAGAUAUCGGGAGGAACACCAGUAGCGAAGGCGGACACUCUGGGCCGGUACGUGACGCUGAGGAGCGAAAGCGU